UAAAAUUAUUUUAAAUAAUAUAUUAGAAAUGAAAUGUUAUUCGUUUUUAAAGGUAUCUAGUUCUUUAAGAAAUAAAUUUAAUUUAGAAAUUUUUUAUUAUUUAAUUUAAUAUAUUAAUUAAAUAAUUAUUUAAUUUUAAUAUUUUAUGGGAUAAGCUAUAAAAUAAAAUUUUAUAAAUUAUUAAAUAAAUUAAUAAAUAUAAACUUAAAAAUAGUUAUUAUUAAUAAAAAUGUUAUAAUUUAUUUUUUAUAAAAAUUAUUUAUUUAUAUUUUAAAAUUUUAUUAAAGUAUUUAUUUUAAUAAAAAAAAAUAAAAUAAUAAUGAUAAAAUUAGUAUAUUAUAUUGUAUAUAUAAAUUUAAAUGAUAAGUUUUUAUAAAGAACUCGGCAAAAUUAAUAUUCGCCUGUUUAACAAAAACAUGUCUUUAUGAAUUUUAUUUAAAGUCUAACCUGCCCACUGAAUUAAAUUUAAAUGGCCGCAGUAUUUUGACUGUGCAAAGGUAGCAUAAUCAUUAGUCUUUUAAUUGAAGGCUGGAAUGAAUGGUUGGACGAGAUAUUAACUGUUUCAUAAAAAUUUUUAUUAGAAUUUUAUUUUUUAGUUAAAAAGCUAAAAUUUAUUUAAAAGACGAGAAGACCCUAUAAAUCUUUAUAUUUAGAUUAUUAUAAUUUUUUAGAAAAAUUUUAUUAUUAUAAUUUAUAAUAUUUUAUUGGGGUGAUAUUAAAAUUUAAUAAACUUUUAAUUAUUUUUAUCAUUAAUUUAUGAAUAAAUGAUCCGUUAUUAACGAUUAAAAGAAUAAGUUACUUUAGGGAUAACAGCGUAAUUUUUUUGGAGAGUUCUUAUCGAUAAAAAAGAUUGCGACCUCGAUGUUGGAUUAAGAAAUAAUUUUAGGUGUAGUCGCUUAAAUUUUAAGUCUGU
rnacentral:rRNA from 1 species